UACGGAGGAUGCGAGCGUUAUCCGGAUUUACUGGGUGUAAAGGGAGCGUAGACGGCGCGGCAAGUCUGAAGUGAAAGGCAGGGGCUUAACCCCUGAACUGCUUUGGAAACUGCCAUGCUAGAGUGCUGGAGAGGUAAGUGGAAUUCCUAGUGUAGCGGUGAAAUGCGUAGAUAUUAGGAGGAACACCGGUGGCGAAGGCGGCUUACUGGACCGUAACUGACGCUGAGGAGCGAAAGCGUGGGGAGCGAACAGG
rnacentral:rRNA from 1 species